rnacentral:lncRNA from 1 species
UCAUCACUUUCCCCAAACUGAAACUCUUAAGAGUCUAGGAUGCAUAAUCUAUGCCCUGGGAAUUGGGAACUACCUAAGCAACAAGCGAAAGGCUGCUUGUUAUAUGAAGACCAGGAACUACCUAAGCAACAAGCCAAAGGCUACUUGUUUUGUACGACCAGGAGUUACAAAAAGGGAGAAAGUAUAUUUUGGUCGCCAAAGUGUUAGCUGAGUCUAGAUUUGGUCCCUCCACUCUACAAUCAUGAAUUAUUUGUCCGUCAAGGUCAUUACCUUUUAAUUUGAUAAUUUGCUCCAUUUGAACCAGAUUUAGUGAUGAUGUCGUGAUAGUUCGGAACACCCGACAACCUAGUCGGCUAAAAAAAUUGAUAAAAUAAAAAAUAAACAUGGAAAUUAAAGUUCCAUUUUAUUUUUCUUUUGAAAACUCAACUCUAAGUUCAGGAAAAUUUGGGAAAAAUAUGUAAAAGUUUGGAAAAAAUAUAUGCUUUUUUGUAGAAAAUUAAAAUCAUAGUAAAACAACUUUCUAGCAUGCUUGUAUAAAAUAAAAACAGGACAUCUUAAGCAAGAGAAAUAAUAAACGAUUUUAGUAGCUUUUUAUAUAUGCUAGUUUCAACUGCUUAACAUUCUCUAGUUUCUAUGCCUUCUUAAAAUUUCUAAGAUUCAGUAGCUUACCGGAACAAUUAUCUUUAUUUGCGUUUUUGCAUUUUUGUUUCUUUUAUCGAAUUCCCCAUAUUUUCUCUCUUUUUUCAAUUUUUGUUCUCACUGUGGUGCAACGUGUGAAAAACCAUUGCCACAUCGUUGCUGAAACCGCUUUAUGUGGAACAAGCUAGAGGGAAGGAACCUAUGCAGUUUUGACGUUUCACAUACCACCAUUUUUGUUAUUGAGGUUGAGGGACCAACGUGAACUCUGUCAACAAUUGAAAAACAAAAAUUAUACUUUUACCUUAGAAAAAAGGAAAUUAAAAAUAUUUAUAUAUGACCAGAAAGGUCAUGUCAUUUUUUUUUGUUAAGCUUGCAUGUGCCUAGCUUUCAAGCAUCUCGGAUGCUCACACAGACCUGUGCAAGCCAUGAUUUGUAAUCAAUUCUCUUGCAGGCCAUGUUGUUUG